rnacentral:lncRNA from 1 species
CAGGGAAAGAGAAAAGUGGCACACAAAGAAUCUGAAGUUUGACAAUAUAAAAUAAGGUAAUUCCCCAAACCACAUUCUUUGCAAUAAAUCUUUAUAGCGAAAGAGCUCAAAAUUUUGGGAAACAUUUUUUUCAUACUUUAAAUAGAACUGGGUGCUGUCAACAUUAAGAUGUGAGUAGAAAAUGCUGUCCUUUGGGUUCCAGACCCUCCCUGCUUUCAUUUGGAAUUCCUCCUACAUGCUUAUUACAGUAAGGUUCUAGUUCCUCCAUUGGCUGUAUGGUCUCUGUGACAAAAGCCACAACCCAGUCAACUCUGGGGUGAAAAGCAUACAAAACUCGUCCCUGGUACCAAAGUCAUGCAAGAGAUGUGGUGAGAAAAGUGAAGAGUCCUAAAGAGAAGGCAGGACAGUUGAGGCCUCUGCUCCUUCCCAACAUCCACAGCACGGUGAAGUCCCAACAUUCCCAUGAAGCUGGAAAAUGAAAAUGGUGCCUGCUGCCUAAACUCCAGGCCAGGCAAAACAAGAAAGGUCAGCAUGUGUCCCCAACCUGACGUAAAGUCAAUUAAAUAAACUGAAGACUGAAUUUACAACUGUUUCCAACUAAAUUUUUUGGCUCUCAUUCCAUUUGUCAUCAUCAGUGGCACGAUUUCAAGUGAAGUUUGGGCAAAAAGACCCUCUUCAUUCAGUGAGGUGCACAGAAGAAGGGAAUCCCAAGAGUCUACUUGCUACCUUCUUGGUAGGCUUCCAGAUGAGAGUGCCCUGCCCUCCAAAAGCCAAAAUGGCCUCUUUGUCCAAUGUUCAUCACACUCCUGGCCAGAUCCCUGAAGUUAGUCGAUAUCACAUGCAUUCAGCAUGCUAGGUUUAUUUAAAUAUACGAAGCUCUUCCUGCAGGUACCCUAGGAUUGUGGCCUCAUUAGUCUUGAGUCCCUAAUUUCAUGUGGAACAGCAGAGAGCAAUCUGCUGCACCUUGCCCAGGUCCAUCAGCAACUGCUUGAUGCAAUGCUUGAGCUGUGGAAGCC